GCGCAGCAGUCGAGAAACCUCCGCAAUGCGGGAAACCGCGACGGGGGACCCCGAGUGCCGUGGCAACGCCACGGCUUUUCCGGAGUGUAAAAGCUCCGGGAAUAAGGGCUGGGCAAGGCCGGUGGCAGCCGCCGCGGUAAUACCGGCGGCCCGAGUGGUGGCCGCUAUUAUUGGGCCUAAAGCGUCCGUAGCCGGGCCCGUAAGUCCCUGGCGAAAUCCCACGGCUCAACCGUGGGGCUUGCUGGGGAGUACUGCGGGUCUUGGGACCGGGAGAGGCGGGGGGUACCCCUGGGGUAGGGGUGAAAUCCUAUAAUCCCAGGGGGACCGCCAGUGGCGAAGGCGCCCCGCUGGAACGGGUCCGACGGUGAGGGACGAAGGCCAGGGGAGCAAACCGGAUUAGAUACCCCCGUAGU
rnacentral:rRNA from 1 species